rnacentral:rRNA from 1 species
UACGUAGGGUGCAAGCGUUGUCCGGAAUUAUUGGGCGUAAAGAGCUCGUAGGCGGUUUGUCGCGUCUGCUGUGAAAUCCCGAGGCUCAACCUCGGGCCUGCAGUGGGUACGGGCAGACUAGAGUGCGGUAGGGGAGACUGGAAUUCCUGGUGUAGCGGUGAAAUGCGCAGAUAUCAGGAGGAACACCGGUGGCGAAGGCGGGUCUCUGGGCCGUAACUGACGCUGAGGAGCGAAAGCAUGGGGAGCGAACAGG